rnacentral:snoRNA from 1 species
CAGGCCCUGAAUCAAGACCAGUGGUUUGCCGUAGCUAUUGGUUUCACACAGGAGCCCAGAAGAAUGUCUCCCCAUGGUCUGUUGGCUUUUCUGAAUCCCUAGUGGGGAAUGGCCAAUUCAGUUGGAAGAGACAAUU